UACCAGACUCCUACGGGAGGCAGCAGUGGGGGAUAUUGCACAAUGGGGGAAACCCUGAUGCAGCGACGCCGCGUGGGUGAAGAAGCGCCUCGGCGCGUAAAGCCCUGUCAGCAGGGAAGAAAAUGACGGUACCUGAAGAAGAAGCCCCGGCUAACUACGUGCCAGCAGCCGCGGUAAUACGUAGGGGGCAAGCGUUAUCCGGAUUUACUGGGUGUAAAGGGGGCGCAGACGGCGAUGCAAGCCAGGAGUGAAAGCCCGGGGCCCAACCCCGGGACUGCUCUUGGAACUGCGUGGCUGGAGUGCAGGAGGGGCAGGCGGAAUUCCUGGUGUAGCGGUGAAAUGCGUAGAUAUCAGGAGGAACAUCAGUGGCGAGGGCGGCCACCUGGACCGGUAUUGACGCUGAGGUGCGAAAGCGUGGGGAGCAAACAGGAUUAGAUCCCCGAGUA
rnacentral:rRNA from 1 species